rnacentral:rRNA from 1 species
CCUACGGGAGGCAGCAGUGGGGAAUAUUGCACAAUGGGCGAAAGCCUGAUGCAGCAACGCCGCGUGAAGGAAGAAGGGUUUCGGCUCGUACACUUCUAUCAACAGGGACGAAAGAAAUGACGGUACCUUAAUAAGAAGCCCCUGCUAACUACGUGCCAGCAGCCGCGGGAAUACGUAGGGGGCAAGCGUUAUCCGGAAUUACUGGGUGUAAAGGGUGCGGAGGCGGCAUGGUAAGCCAGAUGUGAAAACCUUGGGCGUAACCCGAGGAUUGCAUUUGAAACUAUCAAGCUAGAGGACAGGAGAGGAAAGCGGAAUUCCUAGUGUAGCGGUGAAAUGCGUAGAUAUUAGGAAGAACACCAGUGGCGAAGGCGGCUUUCUGGACUGAAACUGACGCUGAGGCACGAAAGCGUGGGGAGCGAACAGGAUUAGAUACCCGAGUAGUC